AUUGAACGCUGACGGCAGGCCUAACACAUGCAAGUCGAGCGGAGCGGCGGACGGGUGUGUAAUGCCUAGGAAUCUGCCUGGUUGUGGGGGAUAACGUUCGGAAACGGGAGCUAAUACAGCAUACUAUCAGCUGCGCCUAGGUCGGAUUAGCUAGUUGGGGGGGUAAAGGCCUACCAAGGCGACGAUCCGUAACUGGUCUGAGAGGAUGAUCAGUCACGUCAGAACUGAAAAAGGGUCCAGGCUCCUACGGGUGGCAGCAGUGGGGACUAUUGGACAAUUGCCGUAUGCCUGAUCCAGACAUUACACGUGUGUGAAGAAGGUCUUCGGAUUGUAAAGCACUUUAAGUUGAGAGGCUUUCCCAACAGAAUAAUCGCCUGCUAACUCCGUGCCAGCAGCCGCGGUAAUUC
rnacentral:rRNA from 1 species